CGGAGCGUAGCGCAGUCUGGUAGCGCACCUGAUUUGGGAUCAGGGGGUCGCAGGUUCGAAUCCUGCCGCUCCGA
rfam:Elaeophora elaphi genomic scaffold, EEL_scaffold_00001_1479205